UAAUACGGAGGAUGCAAGCGUUAUCCGGAUUUAUUGGGUUUAAAGGGUGCGCAGGCGGGACCUUAAGUCAGCGGUGAAAUCUCGAGGCUCAACCUCGAAAUUGCCGUUGAAACUGGGAACCUUGAGUAUAGAUGAAGUAAGCGGAAUUCGUUGUGUAGCGGUGAAAUGCAUAGAUAUAACGAGGAACCCCGAUUGCGUAGGCAGCUUACUAAACUAUAACUGACGCUCAAGCACGAAAGCGUGGGUAUCAAACAGGAUUAGAUACCCUGGUAGUCCACGCAGUAAACGAUGAUUACUAGUUGUUUGCAAUAUACCGCAAGUGACCAAGCGAAAGCGAUAAGUAAUCCACCUGGGGAGUACGCCGGCAACGGUG
rnacentral:rRNA from 1 species